rnacentral:rRNA from 1 species
UAAGGGGGGGGCAAGCGUUGUUCGGAAUUACUGGGCGUAAAGCGCACGUAGGCGGAUUGUUAAGUCGGGGGUGAAAUCCCGGGGCUCAACCCCGGAAUGGCCUCCGAUACUGGCAAUCUUGAGGUCGGGAGAGGUGAGUGGAAUGGCGAGUGUAGAGGUGAAAUUCGUAGAUAUUCGCCGGAACACCAGUGGCGAAGGCGGCUCACUGGCCCGAUACUGACGCUGAGGUGCGACAGCGUGGGGAGCAAACAGG